CGGGAUCGCUUGAUUACUCCGUGGACCCUCACGAAACCUUCAGCUUCGAAAAUUCGUGCGUAGCAGUUGCUGUCGCCGUCACCUAUGCUUCGGCGCAUUGAUUCAAGCAUCCGAGCCGAGCCAACUCCCACACGGCUGGAGAACCGUCGCAGCGUGUCCAGCUGGCAACGUCUCGAUGGACUUUCUCCGGUGGCCUCGCAGGAGUAGGGACUCAUUCGGCCCUACCUGUUCCCUAGCGACUCACUCUGUUUCAGCCUUCUCCGGCCGCCUCGCAGCAGCAGGGACUCAUUCGGCCCUACCUGUUCCCUAGCGACUCACUCUGUUCCAGCCUGCCUGGCGGGGAGACGGACGUGUCUAUCGCCUAGCAAGGACACCUUGAGGAGUGCGGCAACGACGUCUAGGUCACGUGUACGCCUCGCGGUCGAAAUUGCGGGCCACGGAUCGCCCCGGGUGAAUUGGGCAAGUUUACUUAAUGGUAACGUGAGGUGGUAUCUACUUCGCCAUUGUAUUUUGAAAUCUAUUACUGACUGUGUACACGCGUAGCCCUAGAUAACGUUACAGAUAAAGGGCGCCUCAUAUUCGUAUUGCAGAAAGCUUGUGGGGUUCUUACGUGCCAGAGAGAGAGAAAGAAACGUUUAUUAUACGAAACAGUGUCCCGAGCGAGGACGGGUAUCACCCUAAGGUGGGAAGGCUCCUUAGUCCAGGGACCCUCUGACUUCGACUGCCCUCUUGGGCCUGGCGACGAGUUGUCGUUGGUCAUCCAGGUCCCCGAAGGUUAGCUUGGCCUCCAAAAACUUUUAUUUUACCUGCUGAUUAAAUUUUGCAUGCCUUG